rnacentral:rRNA from 1 species
UAUUGAAUAAACUUGAACAGGCUGUUGCUGGUCUCUCUAGAGGGGCAUGUGCACGCUUGUCAAUCUUUAUUUUCUCCAACUGUGCACACACUGUAGACCUGGAGGGUUUUUGAUUCAUUCGAGUUGGCACUGCAGCGCUUAGAUUAUUACAAAAGUCUGCUUUGCCUUUGCCUUUUUCAGGUCUAUGUCCUUUACAAUCUCAAAAUAUGUUUAGAAUGAUAAUAAAGUUUUUAAAUAUAACAACUUUCAGCAACGGAUCUCUUGGCUCUCGCAUCGAUGAAGAACGCAGCGAAAUGCGAUAAGUAAUGUGAAUUGCAGAAUUCAGUGAAUCAUCGAAUCUUUGAACGCAUCUUGCGCUCCUUGGUAUUCUGAGGAGCAUGCCUGUUUGAGUGUCAUUUCAAGUUCUCAAACCGCAUCAAUUUCUGAUUGGUGUGGCUUGGAUGUUGGGGGUUUUUGCAGGCUUUCUUUCUUUAUAGGAGGAAAUCAGCUCCCCUGAAAUAGAUUAGUAGUAAUAUCUGAGGCUACUACAAAGGUGUGAUAAAUUAUCUAUGCCUUUUCAUAGUAUGGCCGACUGCUUCUAACGAACGAGUGGAAACACCUUUUUGACAAAUUUGACCUCAAAUCAGGUAGGACUACCCGCUGAACUUAA